AGGCAAUGGACUUCUGGAGUGGAGAGUGGACGGUGACUCUCUGGAAGCGAUGUGGACGUCUUGCUGCCUCUGUUAGGUGUUCACACGUGCUUUCUCAGCUCUCCACACAGGGACAGCCCCCGGGUGCAGAUGAAAACAAUUGAGGACCAGAAAUCUGUCACCUGUGCCUUUGGCUAGGAACAGGAGCAGAGGACGGUGUCGUGUGAGCCAGCCAGGGAGGGCACAGCCUCAAUCGCCUUCCUCUGUGAUGACCUGCCUGCCUCUGGCUUUCAGCCAGCACCACCGCACCCCCUGCCCAGGCCUCCAGAGAAAACACCUCGAAAUUGUCUCCCAAGUCAUGGAACCUUUCCCAAGGGACCAGGGAAGGUCCAGAGUCCGAUCUGACUGCCCACUGGGCUGCAAGAACUCUCCCUGGCUUUCAGCGGAGCCAUCUGCCGCUAGGACUGUGAGUCUCCAGGCAGAAGCUGCCGUGACAAGUCCUGGCUAUGUCACUGUACUUAUCAACAGAACACCACAUCUGCCUACCCUGACACCAACAAUGUACCCACAGAGGCCAGAAGAGGGCGUCAGAUCUGUGGAAAUUGGAGUUACAGGCAUAUGGGUGCUGAGAACCAAACUUCCAUCCUCAGCAACAGUAAACUGGGGUUAUCGGAGAGUACUGCCCAACUGAGAUUUUUACAGAGCACUGAGGAUCCAGACUGAUGUUCUCUCACUUUGUGGUAAGUAUUUACACACUGAU